GGCCUCUUUUUGUUCUUUAGCAUCAAGUUUAUCUCUUACGAUUUAAAUAAGGUUAGAGCCGGGUGCGGUGGCUCAUGCCUGUAAUCCCAACACUUUGGGAGGCCAAUGCAGGCGGAUCAUUUGAGGUCAGGAAUUUGAAACCAGCCUGGCCACCAUGGUGAACCCCGUGUCUACUAAAAAAAUACAAAAAUUAGUCGGUGUGGUGGUGGGUGCCUGUAAUCCCAGCUACUCAGGAGGCUGAGGCAGGAGAAUUGCAUAAACCUGGGAGAUGGAGGUUGCAGUGAGCCAAAAUGGCACCACUGCACUCCAGCCUUGGCACUCCAUCUCAAAUAAACAACAACAACAAAAAAGGUUAGAAACUAGUAAAGGUUAUGGUAUAUGCAUUAUAUCUUAAUAAAGCUAGUAAGCUAUUACAAAAGAACAGAAAGCAAUGAAAGAGAAAAAGAGAAUAAACUACAGGAAUUUACAUAAGUGUUGGACAGAUAAACUGCAACAUGAAAUCUAGAUAGUUAUAAUUAUUAUAGAUACUAUUACAUGCACUGCUUAACUUUAUAAAUUCUCUGAAGUCCUCCUAUAAACUAAUAAUUUAAUCUCCUCUGCUAACUUACUGAUCCAGACACAAAUUAUGUAAAAGCUAUCUAUCCAAAUACAAAUUAUGUAAAAGCUUCUAGCACAAUGGUGGCAUAUAAUAGAAUAGGUGUCAAAUAAAUGUUAAAAAACAAAAAAAGUUAAGGUACAAUUGAUAGAGUCAAGUUAUAUAUAUUAGUAUAGGGUUUAAAGGCUAAAAGAAUUUAGCCUAUGCCUAAAAUAGUCAGGAGCCAAUUUAAAGUUUUUAAAAAACUCUUUUUCUUUGAUAUUAUAAAUAAUAUAUGUUGUUACACGAGUAACACGAUUGGAAAAACAUCAGAUUAAAAAUUCAUUUUUAGGCCCUUCUUAGAGUACAAUUAUUAAAGAACAGUUGAAAAUUGGUUUUGUGGCCAGGCACGGUGGCUCACGCCUGUAAUCCCAUCACUUUGGGAGGCCGCGGCGGGUGGAUCACGAGGUCAGGAGAUUGAGACCAUCCUGGCUAACACGGUGAAACGCUGUCUCUACUAAAAACACAAAAAAUUAGCUGGGUGUGGUGGUGCGUGCCUGUAGUCCCAGCUACUCGGGAGGCUGAGGCAGGAGACUGUUGUGAACCCAGGAGGCGGAGCUUGCAGUGAGCCAAGAUCGCGUCAUUGCACUCCAGCCUGGGCAACAGAGCGAAACUCUGUCUCAAAAAAAAAAAAAAGAAAAAGAAAAAAAAAAAGAAAGAAAGAAAAAAAAAGAAAAUUGGUUUUGUGGAGUAAAAUGAUGAUUCCCGUCAGCUUUCUACUUAUUAUAGGACUCUCACAAUUUGGGUGACCAAGGAAUAUUCAUUCCAAUAUAAUUCUUCCUUUUGUAAACAGAGAACAACUUUUACAUUUUCUGCUAAAAAUAUAAAAUGGUGAAUAUUUAGUUCAAGAUGUUUACAUUGCUCAAAAGGUGUUUUGUUUUGUUUUUUCUACCUUUCAUCUCCUCCUUCCUCUCAGGUCUUCAGAACCAAUGAAGAAGAAACCAUUACUUAUCAAAGAAGACGGAGUCUCGCUCUGUCACCAGGUUGGAGUGCACCGGCGCGACCUCGGCUCACUACAACCUCCGCCUCCCAGGUUCAAGCGAUUCUCCUGCCUCAGCCUCCCGAGUAGCUGGGACUACAGGCGUGCACCACCACGCCCAGCUAAUUUUUGUAUUUUUAGUAGAGACAGGGUUUCACCAUGUUGGCCAGGGUGGUCUUGAUCUCUUGACCUUGUGAUCCACCCGCCUCGGCCUCCCAAAGUGCUGGGAUUACAGGCGUGAGCCACCGCAUGUGGCCCACCAUUAAAAUUCUUAACCUAAAGAGGAUAAUUCCCAUGAAAAAUGGAUGCUAUGGGUCAAUUAAAUAAAAUCAAACAACACAUUUUAUCUUGUCCAUGUUUUACAGGUGACUAAAAUAAUGGUUAAUGAGGAUAGCUUUUAUAAUGGGCAAAAUAGGCCAUGACUUGGAGUCUCUAGCUUGCUGAAGCUGUGUGCCUAACUCUCAAAAAAUCUGCAUAGGAUCCUCACCUUAGAGGUGAACAGACUAAAGCCCUAGGGCAGAAUAUGUCUCUACAUUCCUUGAAACAAGUGUGAAGAAAAAAAAUUAAAGAACUGCCAUCAUGAAUUGUACUAAAGCCAUGAUCAAAAGUCUCUAUACUUUGAAACACCUAAUCAUAUUAGAGGAUUAAAAACACAUCAGUGAACGCUAACCAAUUAUUUAUUCAUUUCCAUAUCUUUUAAUUUUGAUAACAUAAAUACUGUGGUUUUUUUUCUCAAUUAUACCGACAAAAUCUUUCUCCUACCUUCAGUCUGAGAGGUUCCUUUUGCUGUAAUAUCUUGUUGUUGUACUUGGCCUAUAGUCUUUGCGUGCAUCUUUUUCCAUAAAAGAAGACCUAAGGGUCGUGAAAGAUUAAGAAAAAUUCAGAUGAGAAGUCUUAUCUUUUCUAGGAAUAAUGAAAAGUGUAUAACCUUUAUUUGAAUGUUAGACUUAUUUUGUGUUCUAAGGCUCUACUGUUGAGGCCAUAUAAAAAGGUCAUACCCUUAGAGGUAGACAUGACCUUUUCUGAAGAAAGUGCACAUUCUCUGUAUCACUUGUCUGGGAGGGGCAGGUCCUCUGACAGGUAAUAGAAUCUUGCAAGAUGGGUUUUGGUCUUCAGCAAAAACUCCUGACUUCCUCUGGAAUCAUGUUCUUGCUGGACUUUCAGGUAAAUGGAUUAUUUGAGGAUGCUCUCUGGUGGUAUGGAAAAGAUGGCUUCUCCCAGGGGCUAGGGCUAGUUAAGAAGGCAGUACCCUUGCAGGGGAUCCUAAAAAUGAAGUGAUAAACUUUCAGAUUAUCUAGCUUUAUGUUUCUCUAUGUUCAUUCUCAUCUGGCUAUGCCCAAACCUUUAGUAAAGUCUGAUUAUUAUACUUUGGUCUUGCUUAGGUCCGAGUUGUGCAUUAAACACCAUGAGAAUUUGGAGUCCAUGUUUGGGCCAAAGGGCUAAAGAAUAGAUGGUAGAACUCGAGUUAACAUAGAGAUAUGUGGUUAUGGCUAUUACUAAGGAAAAUAACCAUCAGUUAUGUACUCUGUGCCCAGCAUUUCACUAUGCUAUCUCAUCUAAUCUUCACAAGAAUUCUCAAACAUAGGUUUUAUUAGUCCCAUUUUGCAGAUGAGGAAACUGAGACUCAGAGAAAUUAAGUAUUUGGAUAUAUCCUAUAGCUAUUGGGAGGUGGAAUUUGAACCGAGGUUUCAUCUGACUCCAGAGGCUGAACAUACUCUAGUCAAGUUACAUAACUUCUCAUACCUUAAGUUUUUUAUUUGAAAACAUCUGCCUUCUAGGGUUGCUAUAAGGAUUCCAUGACACAAUGCAUAUAAAGAUUCUGGGCCAUUAACUAGAAGAUAAUAGGUAUCCCCCAAAUAGUGCUUAUCCUUAUGUUUUCCUUCUGCCUUUCUGGCCAUUCCUUCUUAAUAUCCUUCAAGGGUUCCUUUUCCUCUGAUGACCUGUUAAAUUGGUGUUCCCUAAGUUUGUUCUUCAAAUGAACACUCUCCUUGAGUGACUUCAUCCAAACCCAGGGCUUCAGCUACUGUUUUUAUGCUAGUGACUUCUAAAUCUGAACCUCCAGGCUAGAUCACUGCUGACAUCUCUAUUGGAUGUCUCACAGACAUAUGAACUCAGUAAGUCCCAAACAACACAUCUUUCUGUUUCACUCUUGGCCUGUCUCUCAGCAAGUGGCAUCACUGAAUCUCUAGAUACCUAAGCCAAGGCCUGGGAAUCUUCGUCUACUCAUUCUCAGUCAUCCCUUACACUCAAUUAGUCAUCAGGUUAUCUUAAGUCUCCCUUCUUAUCAUUUGUAUCAGUCUCUCCCUCUCUCCCUAUCCUCCCUCAAUUUCAUUUCCACAGCCACUAUCACUGCCUAAAUUCAAACUCAUCACGUCUAUCAGGCAUUACUGCAACAGUCUCCUAACUCAUUUCCCUACAAUUUACCCAACCCUCCUAUCUGUCCUCAAUAUUACUGUCAAAAUGAUCUUUCUAAAAAGCAAAUUCAUAUUAUACAUUUUUCACUUAAAAUUCUUUCAAGAGCUUCCCAUAGCUUUCAGGAUAAAGUUCAAAUUCAGCACACUAAGCCCUUCAGCAUAUAGCUGCUCCCUACCUCUUUAGCUGUAUUUUCCACUAAUUCUGUAUUUUUUCAUUUGCACCAUUUGUUUCUGCUUUGAAGGAUUACUUGAACUUCUCUAAAGGAAGCUAUUUCUAGCCUUGGGCCUUCAGGCAUGUCCUUGGGUGCCUACCCAUCCCCUUAACUCCAAAAUCCCCCUCAACUCUUUCCUUAAAGCUCAGCUCAAGGGCAUUCCUCUGGACAGUUUUCCUUGAUGU
rnacentral:lncRNA from 10 species